ACAGCAGCAGCCGCAGUAAUACAGAGGGUGCGAGCGUUAAUCGGAUUUACUGGGCGUAAAGCGUGCGUAGGCGGCUUCUUAAGUCGGAUGUGAAAUCCCUGAGCUUAACUUAGGAAUUGCAUUCGAUACUGGGAAGCUAGAGUAUGGGAGAGGAUGGUAGAAUUCCAGGUGUAGCGGUGAAAUGCGUAGAGAUCUGGAGGAAUACCGAUGGCGAAGGCAGCCAUCUGGCCUAAUACUGACGCUGAGGUACGAAAGCAUGGGGAGCAAACAGGAUUAGAUACCCGAGUAGUCCCUGUCUCUUAUAC
rnacentral:rRNA from 1 species